rnacentral:rRNA from 1 species
UGGGGAAUAUUGGACAAUGGGGGGAACCCUGAUCCAGCCAUGCCGCGUGUGUGAAGAAGGCCUUAUGGUUGUAAAGCACUUUAAGCGAGGAGGAGGGUACUGGUAUUAAUACUACCAGGUACUGGACGUUACUCGCAGAAUAAGCACCGGCUAACUCUGUGCCAGCAGCCGCGGUAAUACAGAGGGUGCGAGCGUUAAUCGGAUUUACUGGGCGUAAAGCGUGCGUAGGCGGCUAAUUGAGUCGGAUGUGAAAUCCCCGAGCUUAACUUGGGAAUUGCAUUCGCUACUGGUUAGCUAGAGUGUGGGAGAGGAUGGUAGAAUUCCAGGUGUAGCGGAGAAAUGCGUAGAGAUCUGGAGGAAUACCGAUGGCGAAGGCAGCCAUCUGGCCUAACACUGACGCUGAGGUACGAAAGCAUGGGGAGCAAACAGG